rnacentral:lncRNA from 1 species
AAACCUGUAGGGUUUCAGGGGAGAAGAAGAAAGGUGUUAAGCCACUGGCAAGUGUACCAGAUCGUUAUCAAGUAAUAUAAUUGGUAAACCCAAUAUCGUUCUUCCCAAAGGACUCUUAGGCCCUACUUUUCAUGUAAACAAAUCGCGUAAGAUUUGAGAAAAGAAUUAAGUUGGUGGUUAAAUGCAAAGAACAUAAAUAAACAUGCAAAUUCAGUUGAUUCAAUUGGCUUUGAGAAACUAUGGAUGAAUGAUGUUGUUGGGGUUUACAAUUUCAUCUUAUCCACUCUCAUAUAUUUACUUUUCUUAUUUACUUCACUUAUUUAUCUAAUUGCCAUGCAAACUUUCUAGCCUACCCUUAACCCAAUCCCUUGGUGAAAAGAGCCUAUUAUUAAUUACCGGCUUGCUAUCCCUAGCCUCCCCUAGUAACCAAUAACGCAAUGCGAACAGAAGCAAAAUACAAUUGAUCGUCCUACCUCUAUCCCUAGGUGGUACUAGCAUAAUCAAGGAAUUUCCCACCAGUUCAUGACAUUACCGUACGUCCCCAUAUCGAUAAAGACAAACAACAUUUAUUGAAUGAGUUAAACAAUAAAAGCAUUUAGCAAAGAUGAGAACCCAACAAUUGAUAAACAAGUAUAUGACAAACAUAUGAAAUAAAUAAGAAUUUAGAUAUAUGAGAGUUUCAAAAGAUU